rnacentral:lncRNA from 10 species
GCGACCCGCCCCUCCCUAGGCCCGAGGACGCGCCCGCAGCAGGCGAACGGCUUCGGGUGCCAGGAGCUCAGCAAGCUGGGGACCCCCUGGGCGAGGAGUACAAAGGACCCCAGGCGAAGCCGGCGCCGGGAGGCAGAGCUGACUCCCGCGGGACUCUACCGGCCUGCGAGCGUUCGUCACGUGCUCGGUGGCUGAGGGGCCGUCCCGGCCGGGCGGGCUUCACCGCGUGGGCGCGGCAGUCGCCACUCACCGAGGUUGACGACCUUGAGCGCCGUGAAGAAGCGGUUCUGCCGGGCCAGGCGUGGGUUCUCACUAUGUUGCUUAAGCUGGUCCAGAACUCAAGCCAGUCUCUCACUUCAGCCUCUUGAGUCGUUGGGAUUACAGAAGCCACCAUGUCCAACUCUCAACUCUGCUUCUCUUCUUACUAAGGAAAGAGAUCAAGGGGAUUCUUGUGAGCAAGGUUCUUCCUGGUACCUGAUUGGGCAACUGGAUGAAGAAGAGGGAAAGGAAAAAGCUGCCUGAGCCCCCCAAGACAUCAGGUGCCCUCCUUAUGGUGACUGCAGAGAUCCUGGGAAGAGUCAAAGGUUAUUCAAAUCCAGACUGGACCCAAAGGGGUUCACAGAGAGGCAGGAGACCGCUUGGAAAAGAGACAAGAUCUUGUUGCCCAGGCUGGUCUCAAACUCCUGCGUUCAAAUGAUACUCUCGCCUUGGCCUCCAAAAGUGUUGGGAUUGCAGACCUGAGCUACUAUGCCUGGCUGAAUUCUAUUUCUAUUGGAUUGGUUGUAAAGAAGUGCAUUGUAGCCUGCAAAGGAGCAGGGCCAGUGGGGUGGAGAGGGCAGAAGUGCUACAGAGGCCCCUGCUCUCCACUGCCCUGACUGCUACUGUGCUGGAUGCCGUGUGAACCACAGCUGCAUCUGGAGGCCUUGGGCAGGCUUUUCCAAUUUGGAGGCACAAAUAAGUGAGAACUUGGGGAUCCACUGAGGUCUGAGGCACGGUGGUACCAGAGGAGAUGAAGGGGCUUUCAGCAUGAAGCUGGUCCCCUGUCGACAGCACGCUGAUUUUCCCGUUGGGCUCUAUCAGCAUGUCCACUGUGAGACCAUGCUUGUGAAAAUACCAGGACGGUAAAUUAGUGAAUUCCAAAGUCAGGAUUUUUGUUGGAUCUGGCACAGUCACAGGAAAGUCUGAGUUUUCUCAAGGGCAUCCCUGUCUCACCGAGGGGCACCAAGGACAGACGACCAGAAGCAAAUGGCGCAGUCACCGUCAGAGGAGAGUAAAACUCAUUCUGAAACGGUUCCAAAUGCCCAUGCCUGCUCUGUGGUUUUCAGCAAAGCGGACCUUUCCAAAAGACCUCCAACAGGGACUUCCUGGAUGUGAGAACACUAACCAAUUCUCGUUCCUCUCAUCUUUUGCUUUAUUCCUUCCUUCCAUGCUGUUAUUGCGAAAAACUGGUAGUUAAAUUCAAUUGAUUCAAAAUAUUCGGGAUCCAUAUGGCCGCCAACCCUGGAGCUGAAGCGGCGAUAGCGCCUCACUGCUGUUUUCAAGCAUUUGCCUCUCCUCCAGUCCCCAGAUGGUGGGAGUAACAUUUAAACCUCCUUUUCUCUGCCUUGUACAAUAGACCUUGGCACCAUUUCAACUGUUUACUCCGGUAAUUAACAGCUCUGAUACCACAACAAUUACAACUCCUACACUCUCACCACAAUAAUGCUAUGAAUUAGUGAGAGCUAAUGGCUGGAAGGUAGAGUGUUUCCAGACUGUGGGAUCUGUGCAUUUUUAGAAUAAAAUAAAAGGUACAAACAGCACGCUUGCAGUAGACAAUGAUUACCUAGUAAUUAGUUUACACAAAGCUUCCUAUUUAAUGGCAAAACGCUGUAAUUAACGUGUGACAGAAAAUCAAAGGGUACUUUGUAAGCAUAUUAAAAAUUAACACUGCAGGCCCAUAGCUUUAUGUACUGAUUAGAAGCAUAUUAAAUCAAUAGGACACACAAACCAACAGCUUGGGUAGCUGAUUAUUAUAGGUCCUCAGAAGGGGUACCCUGGCUUUCAUUUCACUUGGGGAGGCAAUUUUCCUUCUCCUGUCAUCUUCCUCAGGCACAGAGAAACACCUCAAACUCAACCCUGGCAGCUUCAUGAAAAUAACCACUGAACUGGAAGAAAACAUUCUAAGUCAUUCUCAGAGAUGAAGACAAAUAUGUAAAUGAUUAAGACUUUCCAAUGAUUGUGGUGACGUGCUGCUACACUAAUUAGAAAAUACACCAACUGGAACCAGAAAAUAAAGCCACUGGGUUGCAAUCUUCCGGUCAGAAUAAUCUCUACUUUGUCAAGCCUCUUUAUUCAACUCAUAGAAAGUUCAAAUAAAUGGAACUGUUUUAUAUUUCUAAAUGAUAAGAAAGCAGGCUGCUAUGAAGACUUAUUCUUUCCAAGGCACUGUCUGGGUAAAGCAUAGGCUGGGAACAACUGGAUCAACCAACAUUCUGUAUCUUCAACAGCCACAACCCCAUAUAAUGAUGGCUGAUGGACAUAGACAGCAAUAUCCUGGAAGCCUACCAGAGCCUAAAGAACCUUCUGAAUCACCAAAGAAAGAUUAAGUUGUAUGUACUUGUUCAAUGUUACCUGUAUUUUGUUAUAAUACAAUUUUAUGGUAAUAAUAACAACAAUAAUAAUAGGUAGCAUUUCUUAAAGUCUUAUUAUGUGCUAAGCACACUGCUAGCCAAUUCAUAGAAUUAUCUCAUUUACUUGUCACCACUUCCCCAUGAGACAGGUACUAAUCUCUCUUUACAGAUAGAGAAAGGGAGACUUGGAGAGCUGAAGUAAUUUGCCUAUAGUUAUCCCCCAGGGAGCAUGGGAGUCUAACCUAGGUGUCCCUGGCUAUGGAACCCCAGGAAGCCAAACUACCUCUUAGUUACCCUGAAUGACUAGCCUGUUCCAACACUCAUUCUGCUUAAAAGGCAGUUUACUAUGUCAACCUGGAAUAGGAGACUAAAAAAAUUAAAACAAAAACAAAAUAUUUGGUUGCUUAUUUUUUUAAAAAACAGGGUGUUUCUGCUUUUAGAGAUAGGAGUCUUGUUCUGUCACCCAGGCUGGAGAGUGGUGGUGCAGUCAUGACUCAUUGCAGCCUCAAACUCCUGGGCUCGAGUGAUCCUCUUUCUUCAGGCUCCUAAGUAGCUGGAACUACAGGCACACACCUAAUUUUUAAAUUUUUUGUAGAGAUAGGGUCUCACUAUAUUGCCCAGGCUGGUCUUGAACUCCUGGCCUCAAGCCAACUCCCACCUCAGCCUUCCAAAGUGUUGGGAUUACAAAAUAUUACAGGAGUGAUCGACUGCACUGGGCUAAAAACAAGGGUUUUAAAUGCUUACCAUAUUUUUAAUGCUACAUCUGAUUGUGAAGGUGGGCUACUCAAAGCUUUUUGGGAAUUUACAGGCUCACUAAAAUGAUCACGAUAGUGUAUUAAAUUGAGAAAGGCAUUGAAAAUCUGUCAUUCCCAUGAACAACCAAAGGGUGAUGUCUAAAAUUCUCUCUCAUCACCCAUGCACAUAACCAGGUAUAUGAGGCAGUUGGGUUGCAAGAGCUGAAUCCUAGAAACUCCUAGGCAGGGCUCCUCCUCUCCAGCUCUGAGGUGUGUGUAUUGAUGGCCCCCUACACCUCCCAGUUUGCUGCCUUGUGGGAAAAGGAGACCAGCUCUUCUGUUAUCUAGGAAAGGGAAGAAAUUUGAGAGCAGUGGCCUCUGUGUUCCAGGAAUAUUUGCGUUUCCCACAAAUCUCUGGAAAGCAGAAAGCUUGCCACAAGGGCAGCACACGGUAUGAGUCACAAAGGCAAGGACCUGAGGGAGAACACUUCCCAGGACUUUCAAAUAAGGUCUUUCCUAAAUGUACUUGGCUCAGUGUGGCAAAAGCACUGGGCUAGCAGCAGUCAGAUGUGGGUUCAAAGCAAGGCACAAUCAUUUAUUAGCUAUAAAUUUGGGCAAGUCACUUCUUGAGAAUAAGUUUCUUCAUCUGUAAACAGAAGUAAUACCUUCCUUAUAUCUUAAAUUGGUGUGGAAGUAAAUGAGUAAAAACCUCAGGGUUUUUCUGAGUUUAAAUGAGACAAUUCAUGUAACGUGCUUAGCACAAUACCUGGUACCCAGUAGGUACUCUGCAGUAUUUAUUGAUGAUGAUGAUGAUGAUGAUGAUGAUGAUGAUGAUGACAAAGAAAUACAAGGAAAUGUCAACACCUUAACAGUGCAUUCAUAGAUCUACAAAAUGCUUAAUCUCAGUGUUCUGGCAACCACUAAAUACAUAAAGAUAAUCUAAGACAUCAAGAUUUCAACAUAUAAAAAUAAAUAUAAAAACAAGUGAACAAUAAUCAUUUAUAUGUAGUUUCAUGACUGGAAAAAAUAAUAACCUAGAUUUUUUCUUAACCUAGAAAAUCUAGAUUAAAAAAUAAAGAUCUUGCAUUUUUGAUAUAAAACACAAAUAAUAAGGACAUGAAAAAAGAAUAUCCCUUGCUAGUAAUCAAAUAAUAGCAAUGAGAAGCUGGAUUCUUAUAUCUAAAAUAAAAGUGCAAAUAGUUCAUAAUAUCCAUUGGUGGUAAGGUUGUGGUAAAACUAGUAUUCUUAUUCUCUGCCAGUUGCUUUGGAAAUUGGUACUAUCUUUUUAGGAAUAUGGCAAUAUGUAACAAAAGCCAUAAAAUAUUCUACUCCUGGGUCUUUCUCCUCGGGAAGUAACUCAACAGAAGCAAAAAGAGGUGUAUACAAAAACCAAAUAUAAAAACAAACAAAUCUUUCCUCCCUCUUUCCUCCCACUGCCAAAAAAUGAAAGCUGGGAAUAGCCUAAAUUUCCAACUUAGUUGAAUUGUUCAAUAUAUUAGAGUUCAUCAAUAUGAGAGAAUAUUAUGCAUCUAAUAAUUGUGACGACUAUGUAUAAACAUGGAAAAUAUUUAAGAUCUGAUGUUUAACUAGCAUAUACACUAUUAUUGUAGCUAUGAGAAAGAAAUACUGCAUAUUUAGAAAUUAAUAUACAAAAAUGAAAACAACUAUGUUUGGGGACAGUGAUUAUGUACUUUUAAAUUUUUUUUAAUCUUGUUAUCUUUAAACUUUUCUAAAAAUGAUGUGAUUACAAGCAAUGGCUCUUUGGGAUCACCUAAUAAAUACCUACUAAAUUCUAGACGGGACAACGAGCUCUGCCAUCCUGCAAUGGCUCCUGUGACCUAGUUCCAGGGCCAUUCUGAAUGGACAGAGGUCUUCACAAUGGAGGUGGAGAUGCAGGGAGCUCUAUGGCAUGAAAUGGUUAAUGAUUCUCUUUUGUAAUUGUGUUUUCUGUUUGCUGCCUUAGUUCUAAAAGGAGGCAAAACAACUGUGGUUUAUUCUACCUUUUCCAGGCAUAGUUCUUCUCCUACCUUUGUGAUCCCCAAAUUAAUAUCAAAUGUCUAAUUAGUUUUUUUCUCCAUUGGUGAUCCCCAAAUUAAUAUCAAAUGUCAGACAAAGUAAAUCAAAGUACAAAUAAAGGUAAAACUGCUCUUGCAAAGGGCUAAAAUAGCAAUGUUUACUAGAAGCAUUCAAGAGCCAGUUCAAUUUCCUAUUUCUCAUUAAGUGGUAAAAUAGUAAUGCCAAGACCACAUCCCAGAAUCUCCAGGGUAACAGAGGCCCAACGAAGGGCUGCAGAGAAACUUGAAAGUAAACUGGCUUAGUUCUUUACACACAGAAAUUGUUCUACAAAGAUCUCUUGCAAAGCAGUGUCACCAGUAGCAUCACUGCCACUAAGCCAAUGUCCCAGGAAUUGAGGAAAGGAAGACACCCUUAAAGAAAAAAAUGGAAAAAAGCCACAAGGACUGGUACCACAGUAAAUGUCUGCCUGGGUCUCCCUAAACUGUCUUAGGUGAGCUUACCCAGGAAUGUUUCUCCCCUACAUGUUUGCCUUCCUUUGUUUAAGCCUUUAUUCCUCCUAAAUGAAAAUAAAUACCCCCGACUGGGGAACGUGGAGUUUGGA